rnacentral:misc_RNA from 1 species
UCCCCGUUACCGGGGCAGUCUGGCUAGAAAAAUACAACUAACCAUAAGGGUUGCGCUCGUUGCGGGACUUAACCCAACAUCUCACGACACGAGCUGACGACGGCCAUGCAGCACCUGUCACUGCGCUCCCGAAGGCACAAAUUCCUUUCGGAAUCCUUCGCAGGAUGUCAAGUCCGGGUAAGGUUCUUCGAUUAUCAUCGAAUUAAAGAACACGCUCCACCGCUUGUGCGGGUCCCCGUCAAUUCCUUUGAGUUUUAAUCUUGCGACCGUACUCCCCAGGCGGGAUGCUUAACGCGUUAGCUUCACUACUGGACGGGUCGAGCGCCCAACAGUUAGCAUCCAUAGUUUACGGCGUGGACUAC